rnacentral:ncRNA from 2 species
CCUACACAGAUUGUUACGGGUGCCCUUCACAGGGUGAAACGGGAAGCCGGUGAACCAUGUGCUUUACUCUAAAGCCAUGUCAGUCCGGUGCUGCCCCCGCAACGGUAAGCGAGUGAAGCGUCAGAUCCACUGUGCCAGUGCGGCAUGGGAAGGUGAUGCUUGCAGGUCGGUUAAUGCCAACCCCUCGCGAGCCCGGAGACCGGCCCGCAACUUACAGUGCGC